rnacentral:rRNA from 1 species
AGAAUGAACGCUGGCGCGGUGCUUAACGACGAUGCAAGUCGAACGGAAUCCAAGGAGCUUGCUCUGGAAGAUUUAGUGGCGAACGGGUGAGUAUCACGUGAGCAACCUGCCCCGAAGACUGGGAUAACACCGGGAAACCGGUGCUAAUACCGGAUACCUUCCAAUGACCGCAUGGUCGAUGGAAGAAAUGUUUUUCGCUUCGGGAGGGGCUCGCGGUCCAUCAGCUUGUUGGCGGGGUAACGGCCCACCAAGGCUUCGACGGAUAGCUGGUCUGAGAGGACGAUCAGCCACACUGGAACUGAGACACGGUCCAGACUCCUACGGGAGGCAGCAGUGGGGAAUCUUGCGCAAUGGACGAAAGUCUGACGCAGCAACGCCGCGUGAGGGACGAAGGUUUUCUGAAUUGUAAACCUCUUUCGACAGGGGACAUAAUGACGGUACCUGUAGAAGAAGCACCGGCCAACUAUGUGCCAGCAGCCGCGGU